AGUGGUGUGGUACCCAGGCCAGGCGAUUGUUGGAGUGGUAGGAAACGGCGUCUUUACAUGAAUACUGGGCGGGAUUCUGUUACUUUCCAACGUGCACGGACGGUCUAAUUUGAGGCUCGGAGCCGGCGGCCGCCAUGCCCCCGCCGCCGCCGCCCGCGCCGCCGCCGCCGCCGGCCGGCGGGCCGCGCAGGCCGGCCGCCAAGAGCGGCGGCGUCGACCGUGCCGCGCUGCUCGGCGACAUCCAUCGCGGCGCCAAGCUGAAGAAGGUGCAGACGAACGACCGCAGCGCGCCGUUAGUGGGGUCUGUGAAGCCGUCCGGCGGUGGCGGCGGCGGCGGAGG